rnacentral:siRNA from 1 species
UUUGGAUUGAAGGGAGCUCUAC